rnacentral:rRNA from 1 species
AUUGAACGCUGGCGGCAUGCUUUACACAUGCAAGUCGAACGGCAGCGGGGGCUUCGGCCUGCCGGCGAGUGGCGAACGGGUGAGUAAUGCAUCGGAACGUGCCCAUGUCGUGGGGGAUAACGUAGCGAAAGCUACGCUAAUACCGCAUACGUCCUGAGGGAGAAAGCGGGGGAUCUUUGGACCUCGCGCGAUUGGAGCGGCCGAUGUCGGAUUAGCUAGUAGGUGAGGUAAAGGCUCACCUAGGCGACGAUCCGUAGCGGGUCUGAGAGGAUGAUCCGCCACACUGGGACUGAGACACGGCCCAGACUCCUACGGGAGGCAGCAGUGGGGAAUUUUGGACAAUGGGGGCAACCCUGAUCCAGCCAUGCCGCGUGAGUGAAGAAGGCCUC